AUGGGACUCACCAAUAUCCAUCACCUGGGCUGCUGCAGGCUGACAGGCAGCUACUUCUGUUGCUCAGGACCAAGGUGGACACAUCGCACAAAUGGAGACCCCUCACCUCUUUUGUCAGGACUCUCCCAAGAACUGGAGGUGGCAACACCAAAUCUACUGAAGUGGCUCAGAGAAGGAGAGACUGCUCCUAGAGACCACCCGGCCCACCCAGGAUCUUAAAAUCCUCUGCAUCCAGUGGAAGGAGAGGAUAGUGCUAAGAAGAAACACCUGAUUCAGAAGAGCUCAGCACACAGGCAUCUGCCCAGCUUUCACCAUGGGAGUUAGUCACGUGGUCUACAGUGCAAGCAAGGCAGCCUGGGAGAUGUAGUCCUGUCUGAGCUGGACAGCUGUCCUCCCAGAAGAAUGCCACCUAUGCAACUCCACUUGUGGAAGAAGUAGCAUAUGAUAAUAUGCAGAGUGAGAUUAGAACAUUCCUGGUACAUCAGUAGUAAGUGCAGUGCAGGUGCAGAAACAAUAGAAAGUAAGACUGCUGGAAUCUUAGCAAGAACCCAGGGAAGAUGAAAUGAAUUGUUGCAACCACCAUUGUAUUUGUCACAAAUUUGCCAUGCACGCUGGGUUAGCGUGUGUGUGUGUGUGUGUGUGUGUGUGUGUGUGUUGGAUGGUCCUCAAUUUACUUGUGAUUUUUUAAACUUAUAAUGGUAUGAAAGUGACACAUAUUUGGUAGAAGCAAUGAGUUUCAAAUUUUGAUCUUUUCUCAGACUAUCAGUAUGCAGUACAGUGGUCUAUAGGAUCAUGAGGAUGUUGGAAAUAAGCCCUCAGACUCAAAUUGUCAGUGCUGGAAAGAAUGCACUCAGACUCAGGGCAAGAGGUCUCAACAAGGCAAGUUUUUAUUCCUGCAGGAGGCCUGAGGUCGCAGGUGCACAGAACAAAAAAGGUUGCCCCUUUUAUCCCUAACACAGGAGAAGUAUCUGUCCUUUAAAUUAACUGGCUGAAUUCAAAAGCCUACAACCUACCCAGGUUGACUAGUUUAAGCUGUGUGAAGGGUUGCUGGGCAGGGUUGCAAUGGGAG
rnacentral:lncRNA from 1 species